GCCGGCCUAGCUCAAUUGGUAGAGCAACUGACUUGUAAUCAUUUGGUGUGGGUUCGAUUCCUACUGCCCCUGCCA
rnacentral:tRNA from 1 species